AGGAGCUGUAGGAGGGCGGGCACAGUCCUAUAGCACCUCCAACCAGCCUCAUCUAGAUUGUAGAUUCAUGUAGCCUCUCAGCAUUUGUUUGUUUGUUUGCCUUUUGCAUUUAACUUUUUGUACAUUAUUUGGUCACAAAUAUGGAUGAUAUGGAGCUCUGACAUGCCAACACUCACAUCUGCAGGAUGCUGAUUUUCAGCCAGGAAUCGUCUAACGGCAACUAAUCCCUUUUUUGAAGGAAAUGAACCAGACAGGGGGGACGUUUUCUGGACACACAUUAAAGCCUAAAACAAGUACAAACUGAAUUGCUUUCAUGGAGGACUGUCUUAAUCUGGCUGGCAGUGAGUAACAGCAGUGACCUGCCAGAUUGCUUCCUGGACCAUAUUUCCUGGGAUGACUCCUGUGUUGCUGUUCGCUCCUGAGGUCACUGGAUUUAUGCUGUUUUUUACAAAUCUCUGAAACACACAGAGCCACUAUUUAUUUCAUGAACAAAAGUGUGGUUAGAUAAAUAAUGUGUGAAAUAAAUAUUUUCUGUGCUAUGGAUAGGCUGCGGAACAGUGAGCCAGGUAUAAUUUCGGUGCAGACAUUAACUUCUGUCAAUGGUUGUCGGGGAAAGGCGAGGACAUUUGACUGUGAAAUUAAACGGCUGCAGCUCUAGCGUGUGUGUCUGCGUCAAAGGAGGGCAUGUCUUUGAUCAUAUGCAGUCACUGAAAUGUAUUUUCUCUCUUUCACACACACACCACCUCUGUUUACCUUGUUGCCUUUAUGUGGAUGACAUUUCUCUCUCUGCCUUAAUUAUGUGGCUGUCACUCAUGUAAACGAUGUCUUUGAAGUCUCCCCCAUGUUAAUGGCCCUGGCACCUUUUUUACAGAGGAAACAGCUCAGCAAGGUCACUGCAGACAAGGCCCCAUCUGUCUGUGUAGCUCUCCUAUCCUCAAUCCCAGAUCCACCAUUACACAGGCAAUCGUCCCACCCUGCCAAUCACCCCACAGCCCCCAGGGCAGGGACAAUGGACCAUCAAUCUGAUUUGCCCUGCUAAUGACCGCAUUGUCUGAUCUCAGCCCACUAACCCCCUUUAACUAUUACAAGUAUCACAUUCUUAAUGGUAUGUGGUGCGAUGGUGUUUAGUGUCUGUUUUCCUGCCUGUAUCCCAGACCUUCACAUGACUUCACAGCAUAUGCCAUCACACCUGCUCUUCAUAGUUACAUUUUAAGAACACACAUAGGAUUGAUUCACUAGCAGACUUACCAUAAGGCAGAAGAGGCGAUUGCCUCAGGCCUCACAUCAAGGGGCCACAUGAACUGGGUAUAAAAAUGUCACUUUUUAAACUUUUUUUUAAUACAAAUUCUCCACUUG